ACACAGGAAUAUUUUAAACCAUUAAGCAUUUGCCAAGCAUUUGGUUAUAAAAGAAGCAAUGAAUCAGUUCAAAUAGGAGUGAUCCAGCAGGAUGCUUCUUGCUUUUUAACUUUCUGCUGAAAAUGGCAUCCAGAAAAGUGAAUUUCAUGGGGCCGUGAGAAUGAUCAAGAGAGUAGAUGGUAAGUUGUAUAUGAGGCAAAACUAAAUUAAGGAACCAAGCUACAGAUAUGAAGAUGGAAGAGAGAAGAGACAUGGUGACAAUUUUAGGACACUUUUUUUUAAUAAGGGAAGGAAUAGGAAGAAUUGCUUGCCUUAUCCCCUGACAGCAUAGAGGAUAAAGCUAUCAGUGGCUAUUAAUUCUGAGACUGGAUACUACCUCUGAAUUCCAGUAGCUGGAGAAUAUGAGUGGGUGAUAGACUGUAGCUGCAAUGGUAGAUGGAGAGGUUGGGUUGGGUUGGGGCAGAGGGAGGUGAGGAAGGGUCCACAACAGCCAGGUACAGGGUUUUGAAAUUAGACUCUUUUUUGCAAUUUCCCAUUUUGUUUUUUCCUUCAGUCUGAGAUAACAUAAAAGAGUCCUCCUGGAUCAGCCCAAAAGCCACGUUGUCCCACAUUCUGCUCUCACAAUGGCCAACCGGGUGCCUGUAGGCGUGCAACUGGGUGCCCCCCAAUUAUAAUUCCAUUACUCUGGUUAUCACAUCAUGCUAUAAAUGCUUGUCACUGCUGAGCUUGUGGCACAGAUCCCGUUUCCCAACACUGCAAGAGAAGGUCGUGGAGGUGCGUCAUGAGGGAGGAGUUGAGGCCGGGUUCCAGCAUUUCUGUUGGGAUUCCUUCCUGUCAUGGGGCUUUCCCACAUGUCUGAGAGUUGAUGGUGUUCUUCAGCCCAUUGAGGGAGGGAGGGACAUCCAUGCCUGACUCCAGCAGUGUGGCCCUCUGCAAGAACAAAGGUGGCCACCACAACUGUAGUCUGUCUCAGUGACGUCUACACUGCCUUGGUCAUGUUGAUAGAAUGGAAGAUGGCAAGAUAUCUAUGGGUGUACUCUAUGGGGCGCUGACUUCAAGCACCAGGCCCGUUGGCAGACCAACUCUGUGUUACAAAUAUGCCUGCAAACAUGAUAUGAAGGCUGGCAACUUUAACUCCGCCAUUUUUUGUUUCCUUGUUUCUAUUGUGAAUUGAUAAUUUCCUCACAGAAAAAAGCACACCAUUGGAAAGUAGUUAACAUCACAAUCUUUUUGCUGUCUCUGAUUGAUAGGGACAUCCUUGAUUUUAAUUCUGUAAUGUUUAGCUCUCCAACUAACUCCACUCCCAGGCCUGCUUACACUGAAGUAGAUUCCACAGACAUUAAUAUGACUUAUUUCCAUGAAAGGAUGUUUAAUACUGGAGAUGGUAGUCCUCAUUCCUCUUGGAAAGUCCCUGGUAGUCACAACUGUAGCGUCUGGCAAACUGAACUUUAAGGAAUUUUUGCUUGUUGGCUUCCCUCAUUCUGAUUCAACAGUGGCAGGAGGAACAGCUGCUGCCAAUAUGCUGGCUACAGGAGCCUGGUGGGCAGGGCAUUAAAAACUCAGUCUUAACUCAUCUCUUAAUAACAACAAGCCACUUUCCAAUUGCUAGUUCCCCUCCUUCUCAAUGUUCUCUUCUCUAAGCUUUAGGUACACCCAAAUUAUUUAGUGUACCCACUGAGUGGCAGACACAUAUGCUGUAUUUCAUGUCAUGGUUAUAUAUGCUUUGAUAACUUCCAGUGUGCAAUACUGUCACUACUGGACUACUGUCUACAUCAGCCUGCCCUUGAAAAGUAUCUACCAACUUCCAUUUAUUCUUCAUGCUUUUGUUACGGUAUCGACUAAAGCCAGCAGGACAAAACAUAAAUGUCCAGUUUUGAACCAUCUUA